rnacentral:lncRNA from 1 species
GUUUAGGUGCGCCCAGCACGGCGUGUGCAGAGCCACAAGCUGGCGUGAGUUGUUGGGGCGUGAAGUUGAAGGAGGGCAGUGGUGAGAAAUGCAGCCCCAUUUAACUCUUGCUGCAUCAUGAGCCACCCCCAAAACUUAGUGGCUUAAAACGACAACAUUUGAUCAUUCUCAUAAUUCUGCCAUCUGAGCUGAGUUCAGCUGGGUAGUCCUUCUGUUCAUGGACUAUCUGCUGGGGUUGGAACACCCAAAAACACUUUUUAACUCCCGUGUUUGAUGCCUUGGCUGGGUAAAUGGAAGAGCCGGGGCUGGCUGCCGUUUCUCUCUCUCUGUCUCUCUCCUCUCCAUGUGGCUAUCUCUGGCUUCCUCGGAGCACGGUGAUCUCAGGGCAGUUGGGUUCUUACAUGGCGGUUGGCUUCCAGUUGAGAGAAGCUGCCAGUGCAUGUGAGGUCUGGGCUCAGAAGUACCCGAACCUCACUUGCACGGCACUCUGUUGAUCAAAGCAAGUCACAAGGCCGGCCCUGAUUUAGGGGGAGGAAGCAGCUUCAGCUUCUUGAUGGGAGGAACAGUGCGCAUGUGCAGGGAGAGAUGCGUUCACAGUGGUCAUCUUUGGAGACUACCUGCCCAGAAGAAAGAAGCAUGCAGAAGGACAAUCUUGUCUGCUUGUCAGAGAAAUCGCAGGAAUGAUGACAAAUGCAGGAUAGCAGUUACCUCUGUGGGAGAAGAUGGGAUGUGCGAGGCCACAGGAAGCUUCGGCUAUUCUGCUCCUUGUCCAGGAAGCCUUCGCUCCAUCUCAGACAGUUCGGUCUCUCCUUUGUUCUCCUGCUGUGGUGGAGCCACCGCACAACAGCUCAGAAGAUGUUCUGCGGCGUCGUCACAGUGUUUCGCACAUGUUCCUGGGAUCCCAGUCAGAAUUCUCUGGGGAGCUGUGAAAAGUGCCGAUCAACGGAAUCUGAUUCCCUGGUGCCGAGGUUCAGGACCUGCGCCUCACGAGCCUUUCGUGGGCUUGGAGCACACUCGAGCGGGAGAGAAACUGCGUGGCUUACCUGCCUCCUCAGAGCAGGGACUCUGGCACUGUCCUUUGUGUCCCCUGGCAUUGAGCACAGGGAUGUGCAGCCGACACAAGUGUGUGUGAAUUCAGUGCAGAGACACAUUUCUCAGGAAGGAAAGCGGAGUGGGGGCGGUGGACGACGUGGGAUAACUGGGGAGGGCGUGAGUGGGAGCCCGUGCAGGAGAGCGAGAGAGGUGGGAAGUCUUAGGCUGAUUUGGGAUGCCCGCUCUGGGGGUCCUCUGAAUGCUGCCAAUAGAUAGUCAGUGAAUGUCUUUUCCCCUCCACUUUUUCCGCAGACACAUACUUUAGUCCCAGAAAUUAUUUUUGAAACCUGAACUUUCAAUGCCAGAACGAGUAAUUGCAUAUAAAGUGGGUCACAAGGAAGUGAUAACUAAUGCACAGGCUAUUUUAACUGCUGAAUCAGAAAUUUCUAAGCUACAUUAUGAAAUAUGCAGGAAGGAAAAUAAGCAGAUGAUAGGAGUGGAAGGAAUCCUAAAAUAAUGUUUUCACAAACAAAUUCUGGCCCAACAUACGCCUGAGCGGUGGGAGUGGGGGAGCUCCAGUGACACACAAUGAGAGUUGAAGAACUGGAAUGAAAUUGCCAAGCUGGAAUUCUUUCUGAACGACGUAGGACCCCUGAGGCACGUGGCCCACACCCCACAAACCCACAGCCUGCAGGACUUCGGCCGUGUCGUGGGGGCACCUUGUCACUGCUUCACAGCACAGGCAGACAGGGCUAAAGAGAGCAAAGACAGACAAAGCCACAAACACAAUGUAGAAAUCUUUUCUAUUGGCUAUUCCUCAAACAAAUAAAACCCAUCUUUUUGGUUCAAUUUAUUUCAUAGAGUUUUUUUCAUUGUGGUAAAAUAUGCACAACUUAAAAAUUACUAUUUUAAUCAUGUUUAAGUGUACAAUUCAGUGGCAUUAAGUAAAAUUCACAGUGUUGUGCAACUGUCACCACUAUCUAUUUCCAGAACUUUUGCAUCAUCCCUAGUAGAAACUCUGUGUCCAAUAAGGAGUAACUUCCCAUCCCCCAGCCCCUAGCCCCUGGUAACCAUUGUUUUACUUUCUGUCUCUAUGAAUUUG